rnacentral:rRNA from 1 species
GAUGAACGCUGGCGGCGUGCCUAAUACAUGCAAGUCGAGCGAACAGACGAGGAGCUUGCUCCUUUGACGUUAGCGGCGGACGGGUGAGUAACACGUAGGUAACCUACCUAUAAGACUGGGAUAACUUCGGGAAACCGGAGCUAAUACCGGAUAAUAUUUCGAACCGCAUGGUUCGAUAGUGAAAGAUGGCUUUGCUAUCACUUAUAGAUGGACCUGCGCCGUAUUAGCUAGUUGGUAAGGUAACGGCUUACCAAGGCAACGAUACGUAGCCGACCUGAGAGGGGGAUCGGCCACCUUGGAACUGGGACACGGUCCAGACUCCUACGGGAGGAAGCAGGAGGGAAUCUUCCGCAAUGGGCGAAAGCCUGACGGAGCAACGCCGCGUGAGUGAUGAAGGUCUUCGGAUCGUAAAACUCUGUUAUUAGGGAAGAACAAACGUGUAAGUAACUGUGCAGGCCUUGACGGUACCAAAGCAGAAAGCCACGGCUAAUUACGU